UCCGCAGGCGGGCAAUUAAGUCAGGGGUGAAAUGCUGCAGCUCAACUGUAGCACUGCCCUGAUACUGGUUGUCUUGAGUUAUAGUGGAGUGGCUGGAAUAUGUAGUGUAGCGGUGAAAUGCAUAGAUAUUACAUAGAACACCAAUCGCGAAGGCAGGUCACUAACUAUUAACUGACGCUGAUGGACGAAAGCGUGGGGAGCGAACG
rnacentral:rRNA from 1 species